ACAAACUUGGUCAUUUAGAGGAAGUAAAAGUCGUAACAAGGUUUCCGUAGGUGAACCUGCGGAAGGAUCAUUAUUGAUUUAAAAAAAAACUACUUGCUGGGAGGGUAUUUUGAAGGUUGCGUGGGGGAAAAGCUGCUAGCAAUGGCGGACUCUCUCUCGCACGCACCAACACCAACGACUAUAAUUACCAAUAUGCCAAUCAAAGAAUUCAUUAACUAAUAAAACUUGCAACAAUGGAUCUCUUGGCUCUUGCAUCGAUGAAGAACGCAGC
rnacentral:misc_RNA from 1 species